rnacentral:rRNA from 1 species
CCUACGGGGGGCAGCAGUGAGGAAUAUUGGUCAAUGGACGAGAGUCUGAACCAGCCAAGUAGCGUGAAGGAUGACUGCCCUAUGGGUUGUAAACUUCUUUUAUAAAGGAAUAAAACGAGGCACGUGUGCCUGUUUGCAUGUACUUUAUGAAUAAGGAUCGGCUAACUCCGUGCCAGCAGCCGCGGUAAUACGGAGGAUCCGAGCGUUAUCCGGAUUUAUUGGGUUUAAAGGGAGCGUAGAUGGGUUGUUAAGUCAGUUGUGAAAGUUUGCGGCUCAACCGUAAAAUUGCCAUUGAUACUGGCAGUCUUGAGUACAGUUGAGGUAGGCGGAAUUCGUGGUGUAGCGGUGAAAUGCUUAGAUAUCACGAAGAACCCCGAUUGCGAAGGCAGCUUACUAACCUGUGACUGACAUUGAUGCUCGAAAGUGUGGGUAUCAAACAGGAUUAGAUACCCUUGUAGUC